UACGAAGGACCCGAGCGUUAUCCGGAUUUAUUGGGUUUAAAGGGUGCGUAGGCGGAUUAGUAAGUCAGUGGUGAAAGCCCAUCGCUUAACGGUGGAACUGCCAUUGAUACUGUAAGGCUUGAGUACAGACGAGGUAGGCGGAAUUGAUGGUGUAGCGGUGAAAUGCAUAGAUACCAUCAAGAACACCGAUUGCGUAGGCAGCUUACUAGGCUGUAACUGACGCUGAGGCACGAAAGUGUGGGGAUCAAACAGG
rnacentral:rRNA from 1 species